rnacentral:rRNA from 1 species
GAGGGGUUCGCGGCUGAUUAGCUAGUUGGUGAGGUAACGGCCCACCAAGGCAACGAUCAGUAGCCGGCCUGAGAGGGCGAACGGCCACACUGGAACUGAGACACGGUCCAGACUCCUACGGGAGGCAGCAGUGGGGAAUUUUGCGCAAUGGGCGAAAGCCUGACGCAGCAACGCCGCGUGGAGGAUGAAGGCCUUCGGGUCGUAAACUCCUGUCGAUGGGGACGAAGUCCUGAAAGGGAUUGACUGUACCCGUUGAGGAAGCCACGGCUAACUCCGUGCCAGCAGCCGCGGUAAUACGGGGGUGGCAAGCGUUGUUCGGAAUUACUGGGCGUAAAGGGCGCGUAGGCGGCCAUACAAGUCAGAUGUGAAAGCCCCAGGCUCAACCUGGGAAUUGCAUCUGAAACUGAAUGGCUUGAGUUCUGGAGGGGGUAGUGGAAUUCCCAGUGUAGCGGUGAAAUGCGUAGAUAUUGGGAGGAACACCUGCGGCGAAGGCGGCUACCUGGACAGUGACUGACGCUGAGGCGCGAAAGCUAGGGGAGCGAACGGGAUUAGAU